rnacentral:rRNA from 1 species
UACGUAGGUGGCAAGCGUUGUCCGGAAUUAUUGGGCGUAAAGCGCGCGCAGGCGGUCCUUUAAGUCUGAUGUGAAAGCCCACGGCUCAACCGUGGAGGGUCAUUGGAAACUGGGGGGACUUGAGUGCAGAAGAGGAAAGCGGAAUUCCACGUGUAGCGGUGAAAUGCGUAGAGAUGUGGAGGAACACCAGUGGCGAAGGCGCUUUCUGGUCUGUAACUGACGCUGAGGCGCGAAAGCGUGGGGAGCAAACAGG